rnacentral:rRNA from 1 species
AAGUGUCACACGGAACUGCCGGUCAUAAACCGGAGGAAGGUGGGGAGUGACGUCAAGUCAGCAUGGCCUUUGUAUCCUGGGCUACACACACGCUACAAUGGGAAGGGACAAUAGGUUGCGAAGCCGCGAGGCGGAGCCAAUCCAGCAAAACUUCCCUCAGUUCAGAUUGCAGGCUGCAACCCGCCUGCAUGAAGUUGGAGUUGCUAGUAAACGCAGGUCAGCCAUACUGCGUUGAAUACGUUCCCGGGGCUU